UUGCCUGUGAUUCUUCUUCAUAUAGAAGAAAACUGACUUGGAGCCAGGCUACCAGCAGGGAAUAAAUGCCCUUUCCUGUUCCCUUUAUUCAGAGAUAAGUCUUGGAUUGAUGCCACUUCUGUAAAAGGAAUCAGACACAGUUCAUGACGGAAGAGAGAAGAGGGAAGUGGCAGCCUGCAUCCUGCCGCAGGGCCGAGAGGAAAAAGCCGGCCUGAUGCCCCCUGGCAGGCAUCUUCAUGCCUCCCUCCAGCUACUGCCAUCUCGUUCUUUCUCCGAUUCGUUGAAUUCAUCAAGGAUGCACUGUCAAAUCUAAUAGCUCUUUUCAAGACAGCUCUGAACAUCCACGGGACGUGCCUUCUGCCAGCAACACCGUUUUCUUUCCGUUCUGCUGGAAGAAUCUUCUCAUGACUCAAAUACACCUUUUCUGUGAAGCUCCCCGCUCCCCCAGGCACUUCGUUGUCCACACUCCUUAAUCCCCUUGAUACACCAGGAAUGGCUUAACGACAGCCAUUGUCACACUGUUCCAGAGCUGUCUUUCUUCCACCUGUAUCGGGAAAUGCUAAUGAUGAAAAGUCUGGGGGGCAUUCUUACCCCCCCCCCCGGUUUUUGAAAUGUUGGAGGGACCCAAUUGGUUGCAAGGAAAAAAAAAAUAGAAAUCUGAUACUUAGUCUUGGUAUAUAUAAAUAUACGGAAAACAAAUGCUGAUACUAGUUUAUUUUAUAUAAUUUACAUAAUAUGUAACUGUUUAGUGGUGGUAUGUAUGUAUAUCACUAGUUUAUUCAGUAAUCAGGUUUUCAUGUCAUCUUAGGCUUAAAUUUAGACUGAAGGAAAGUGCCUAUGUUAUUUGCAUGUCCUAGUGAGGUUUGCAGUGGUAUUAUUUUGAAAAUGUCAUAGGAUUUUGGGAUGAAGAGAUGAAAAUUUGUUGGCAUUUGGAUCUGUAUUCCUUCUGCAAAGUUUAGGCUAUGUCUUCCAAGCAAAACCCUAGAGAAUUUUUUUUUUUAAUAUCCAAGAGUACUUUGAUUUUAUAUCAUUUAGCUAAGAGUUAAAUGUGAGAAAAUUUGGCUAAAUUGAAUUCAGAAUAAUUUGAGUUCAAAUUAUUGGCAAAUUGAUUGUUGACGCUUUUGAAACAAGAUAAUUCAAAUAUAGAGGACAGUUCUCAUUUUAACAAUGAGUGGGCUACCUGGGUGAUCGUAAUUCUGCAUAAAAGCGUCAUACCCUGAUGCUUUGUGACAGGUACAUUGUAGUUUAUUUUUGUAUAUUAGGUAGCACUAUUAUGCUGAGCAAUACCAGGUCUAAUUGUAUUCUUCAGUCUUAGAGAAAAUGCAGUCACAAGUUGGAUCACUAUGGUGUGUAUCACUGGUUCUAACACGGAGCUGGGGUUGUUACAGCAAAGAGUGGAAAUAACAGG
rnacentral:lncRNA from 1 species